rnacentral:rRNA from 1 species
AUUGAACGCUGGCGGAAUGCUUUACACAUGCAAGUCGAACGGCAGCACGGGGCAACCUGGUGGCGAGUGGCGAACGGGUGAGUAAUAUAUCGGAACGUGCCCAAUCGUGGGGGAUAACGUAGCGAAAGUUACGCUAAUACCGCAUACGAUCUACGGAUGAAAGCAGGGGACCUUCGGGCCUUGUGCUAUACGAGCGGCCGAUGUCUGAUUAGCUGGGUUGGUGAGGUAAAGGCUCACCAAGGCGACGAUCAGUAGCGGGUCUGAGAGGAUGAUCCGCCACACUGGGACUGAGACACGGCCCAGACUCCUACGGGAGGCAGCAGUGGGGAAUUUUGGACAAUGGGCGGAAGCCUGAUCCAGCCAUGCCGCGUGAGUGAAGAAGG